GACCCCGGUUGAUCCUGCCGGAGGCCACUGCUAUCGGAGUCCGACUAAGCCAUGCGAGUCGAGGGGCCCUUCGGGGCACCGGCGAACGGCUCAGUAACACGUGGCU
rnacentral:rRNA from 1 species